UACGUAGGGUGCGAGCGUUAAUCGGAAUUACUGGGCGUAAAGCGUGCGCAGGCGGUCUGUUAAGACCGAUGUGAAAUCCCCGGGCUUAACCUGGGAACUGCAUUGGUGACUGGCAGGCUUUGAGUGUGGCAGAGGGAGGUAGAAUUCCACGUGUAGCAGUGAAAUGCGUAGAUAUCUGGAGGAACACCGGUGGCGAAGGCGGCAUCCUGGACCGGCAUUGACGCUGAGGCGCGAAAGCCAGGGGAGCAAACGGG
rnacentral:rRNA from 1 species